ensembl:snRNA U6 U6 spliceosomal RNA
GCUUCAGAUGGAAGCAGAGUGCUUAUUUCAGGACCGAAACAGAGAUUAGCAGGGCUUCUGCAUAAGAGUGACACACAAAUUUGUGACUCAUUUUACAUUUUU